rnacentral:rRNA from 1 species
CUACGGGCCGCUGCAGUGGGGAAUCUUGCGCAAUGGGCGAAAGCCUGACGCAGCAACGCCGCGUGAGUGAUGAAGGCCUUCGGGUCGUAAAGCUCUGUCAGGAGGGAAGAAUAAAUGACGGUACCUCCAAAGGAAGCACCGGCUAACUCCGUGCCAGCAGCCGCGGUAAUACGGGAGGGUGCAAACGUUGCUCGGAAUCAUUGGGCGUAAAGCGCGCGUAGGCGGCCUAGUAAGUCUGAUGUGAAAGCCCAGGGCUCAACCCUGGAAAGCCAUUGGAAACUACUCGGCUUGAGAGCAGGAGGGGCAGGUGGAAUUCCUGGUGUAGGAGUGAAAUCCGUAGAGAUCAGGAGGAACACCGGUGGCGAAGGCGACCUGCUGGACUGUAUCUGACGCUGAGGCGCGAAAGCGUGGGGAGCAAACAGGAUUAGAUACCCUCGUAGUC